CCCCUAGAUGUUCUGGGCCGCACGCGCGCUACACUGAACAGUUCAACAAUUCUUAACCUUGGCCGAUAGGUCUGGGUAAUCUUUGAACGCUGUUCGUGAUUGGGAUAGACCUUUGCAAUUAUGGGUCUUCAACGAGGAAUUCCUAGUAAACGCAAGUCAUCAGCUUGCAUUGAUUACGUCCCUGCCCUUUGUACACACCGCCCGUCGCACCUACCGAUUGAAUGGUCCGGUGAAAUCUCGGGACGGCGGCUUGGUCGCUUGCGUCCGACUGCUGAAACUUGAUUAAACCAUAUCAUUUAGAGGAAGGUGAAGUCGUAACA
rnacentral:rRNA from 1 species